rnacentral:rRNA from 1 species
AAUGAACGCUGGCGGCAUGCCUAACACAUGCAAGUCGAACGAAGGCUUCGGCCUUAGUGGCGCACGGGUGCGUAACGCGUGGGAAUCUGCCCUUGGGUUCGGAAUAACCCGGAGAAAUCCGUGCUAAUACCGGAUGAUGAAGCAAGUCCAGAGAUUUAUCGCCCGAGGAUGAGCCCGCGUAGGAUUAGCUAGUUGGUGGGGUAAAGGCUCACCAAGGCGACGAUCCUUAGCUGGUCUGAGAGGAUGAUCAGCCACACUGGGACUGAGACACGGCCCAGACUCCUACGGGAGGCAGCAGUGGGGAAUAUUGGACAAUGGGCGAAAGCCUGAUCCAGCAAUGCCGCGUGAGUGAUGAAGGCCUUAGGGUUGUAAAGCUCUUUUACCCGGGAUGAUAAUGACAGUACCGGGAGAAUAAGCUCCGGCUAACUCCGUGCCAGCAGCCGCUGUAAAAC